AUGGUGUGCUUCUGACAGUAUUUCACGGCGUUUGUACCAGCGGCAUAGUAACUAAAAACUACCGUGAACACAGCUUAUUUAUUGUUUCUGGAGGGCCUCACGGAUGAGCUAUUCAUCGGCGGCACCCUGCCAGUCGUUUAGAGGAUCUGCGGGAACAAAUGAACAAGCAGAGUGUCAUAAGUCAGGGACCAGCAUCCAUGCCAACUGCCCGGGAUGACUGCUAAGGCAAUUCAUAUUCUCUCUCAAUCGUCAGCCACCAUAUGAUGUUAAUUGAUCUUGAUCUUCCCCACUCGCCAGUUCUGAAGACACUUCGGAUCUCACAUUAACUUCAUUCAGUCUUUAAGAAUAACCAUAGUAAUAUGCAUCUCAAAGCUAUGGCUCAUGCGCCCAUACAAAAAAGGUCAACUGACUAGAUUGAGGAUACGUUAUGGCAAGAAGGCUAUAUAUUCAUGGGUGUGAAUGGGGACAGCAAGUAGGCGGCGUGUAUACUACACCAAGGAGCGAUACAAGGCAUGAAGCAAGCAAGCGAGCAGGUGUACACAGCGACCUGCUACUGCACUAAUAGCCUUGACAGAGCACCGGGGCCGGCUCAACAGGGCAUUCGGCCGCCGGCGGACCCUGGAUGUGCGCGAUGGAGAUGAACCCCACGUCGUCGUCUCUGCAGCCUGGAUAGAGCUCCGUCAGUGCUGGUGAUGAACCCCACGUCUGUGCUGGUGAUGGCGCUGUCCAUCUACUUUCUCCACUGGUUGUCAGACAGUAGAGAUCACAUUGUGGAUUUAUGUUUUCUUCAGAGUGUUCUCCCAUCAUUGUUGGAUGUCGAAUUUGCAAGGCAAUCCGUCUCUAUGUCGAUGUCUUAACCACUUCGUACUUCCGCACAAUUAGCAGAACAGAUCAGUUGCCACAAUUUACCCAUUGAUUUCUUGGACUGAUUCAGACCUAGGAAAGCCUGCUACUUGUGCAAGCAACAGGAAACCACUUCAACUAGCCUAGGACCAUCUCUGGUCCGACGCGCGAGGCGCCUACCGAGUGCCUCCCCAGCUUAACGGUCCCAAACCCAAGCGAUUAGAUACGAAGUCUACUCAGCAGGAGGAGCAUGAACAAUUGUGAAGGAGAACCCCACUGCCUUGGACCAGGUUGCUGAACCAAAAGCAGAAGGUGCGAGGGGCACUGUUCAGUAUCUUUAGGAAUGAAGCCAUGAGGAUGCUACCUAUUCUUUCCUUUCAAGUAUCCGGCACUACGAGCUGCAUUAGCUUCACCUCAGGAUGUUGAAAGAGGAAGUAGGAGUUUUCAGAAAUGAUAAUCUACAAGCGCAGUACAUGUUCGUUGAUUAACGAAGACAAAGGCCCUACAACUCAACUG